rnacentral:rRNA from 1 species
AGUGAACGCUGGCGGCGUGCUUAACUCAUGCAAGUCGAACGAGAACGGAAUAUAGCUUGCUAUAUUUGUCAGCUAAGUGGCGCACGGGUGAGUAAUGUAUAGAUAACCUGCCCUUAAGAAAGGAAUAACAGAUGGAAACGACUGCUAAUGCCCUAUAUGCCUUUAAUACAUAAGUAUGCAAGGGAAACGCUUUAGUGCUUAAGGAUGGGUCUGUAUGGUAUCAGCUUGUUGGUGAGGUAAUGGCUCACCAAGGCUAUGACGCCUAACUGGUUUGAGAGGAUGAUCAGUCACACUGGAACUGAGACACGGUCCAGACUCCUACGGGAGGCAGCGGUGGGGAAUAUUGCACAAUGGACGAAAGUCUGAUGCAGCAACGCCGCGUGGAGGAUGACACAUUUCGGUGCGUAAACUCCUUUUAUAUAGGAAGAUAAUGACGGUACUAUAUGAAUAAGCACCGGCUAACUCCGUGCCAGCAGCCGCCGCAGUAA